rnacentral:rRNA from 1 species
GACGAACGCUGGCGGCGCGCUUAACACAUGCAAGUCGAACGGAAAGGCCUGCUUUCCCUUGUGGAUUGCGGGUACUCGAGUGGCGAACGGGUGAGUAACACGUGCGUGAUCUGCCCCCAACUUGGGUAUAAGCCUGGGAAACUGGGUCUAAUUCCCGAUAGGACUGCAGGGUGGUGCCUGUGGUGGAAAACGCUUUUCUAGUGGUUGGGGAUGAGCUCGCGGCCUAUCAGCUUGUUGGUGGGGUAAUGGCCUACCAAGGCGGCGACGGGUAGCCGGCCUGAGAGGGUGGACGGCCACAUUGGAACUGAGAUACGGCCCAGACGCCUACGGGAGGCAGCAGUGGGGAAUAUUGCACAAUGGGCGGAAGACUGAUGCAGCGACGCCGCGUGGGGGAUGACGGCCUUCGGGUUGUAAACUCCUUUCGACCGCGAGGAAGCCACCUGGUUGGAAGGGUGGUGACGGUAGUGGUAGAAGAAGCACCGGCUAACUACGUG